GCCUUCAUGAAGCUGGAAUUGCUAGUAAUGGCAGGUCAGCAUACUGCCGUGAAUACGUUCCCGGGCCUUGUACACACCGCCCGUCACACCAUGAGAGUUGGAAAUACCCGAAGCCUGUGAGCUAACUGUAAAGAGGCAGCAGUCGAAGGUAGAGCCAAUGAUUGGGGGUGAAGUCGUAACAAGGUACC
rnacentral:rRNA from 1 species